CAGGAUUUGAAUUAUCACAAGAGAUUCACCGGAGGAUUUUAUACACUUGGGCUGUGGCAGCAGACUAAUUACACCACAGCACUAGAGUCUUCACCAGCUCCGGAAAAGAAUAUUUUUAAUCGCUUCAGUCGCUUAGGAUAACAGGGUUAUCUUUGGAAAUUCCUGCCCUCUCGUGUCCAGUAUAGAGAACUGCUUUUGUGUUCUCUAAAGCUGUGAAUGUUAGCGGACAACCAGGAGCAUUUUAGGGCCUCAGCAGAAAGGAGACUGAACCAGUUCCACGAAAACAUUCUCCUAUCUAAUAAAUCAAAAAAUCAUGGCUGGCCUCCAUCAGUUCAGGAGUCUCCACACAAAUGUUUUGACAGUGGAAAAAGAAACAGUCAAGGACAGUUUUAUCAGUGACACCUACCUUCCAAUAGCAAAAACCAUCAACCCCACGGUAA
rnacentral:antisense_RNA from 1 species